UGGACCUCAGGUCAGGCGAGAUGACCCG
rnacentral:rRNA from 1 species